UACGGAGGGUCCAAGCGUUAUCCGGAAUCAUUGGGUUUAAAGGGUCCGUAGGCGGUUUAGUAAGUCAGUGGUGAAAGCCCAUCGCUCAACGGUGGAACGGCCGUUGAUACUGCUAGACUUGAAUUAUUGGGAAGUAACUAGAAUAUGUAGUGUAGCGGUGAAAUGCUUAGAGAUUACAUGGAAUACCAAUUGCGAAGGCAGGUUACUACCAAUAUAUUGACGCUGAUGGACGAAAGCGUGGGGAGCGAACGGG
rnacentral:rRNA from 1 species